CGUCCUAUCAGGUAGUUGGCGGGGUAAAAGCCCACCAAGCCUAAGACGGGUAGCGGGUGUGAGAGCACGGCCCGCGACAUCGGAACUGAGACACUGUCCGGACUCCUACGGGAGGCUGCAGUAACGAAUCUUCCGCAAUGGGCGCAAGCCUGACGGAGCAAUGCCGCGUGUGGGAUGAAGCGGCUACGCCGUGUAAACCACUGUCAGGGGGCAGGAACAAUGACCGCCCCCAGAGGAAGAGCCGGCUAACCCUGUGCCAGCAGCCGCGGUAAUACAGGGGGCUCGAGCGUUAGUCGGAAUCACUGGGCUUAAAGGGUGCGUAGGCGGUCCGCCAAGUGCUUUGUGAAAUCCCACAGCUCAACUGUGGAACAGCAGGGCAAACUGGAGGACUUGAGGCAGGUAGGGGCCGGAAGAACAGUUGGUGGAGCGGUGAAAUG
rnacentral:rRNA from 1 species